rnacentral:lncRNA from 1 species
CAGAACUAGAUGCAGCCGGAGAGCUCAAUGGCUUCUUCCAGGUAGGUUAAGACAUGAGAGCUCUAAGCCCAUCGGUGCCCCUGGAAAACACCUCCAACUCCUUCGCCUCCGUGGUACCCUGGGGGAUCUAUUUGGACGGCCAGGUAGGCGCCUGCUUCUGCUGGGUCUGGUGGCAGAUCGGGACCCCCCGCCACUGAUGAUGCAGCCGCUGCCAAUCCCGGAGGAGCCGCCGCCGCAGCCGGAGCUCCCGCCGCCCCCG